CACGUAGGGGGCGAGCGUUGUCCGGAUUUAUUGGGCGUAAAGGGCUCGUAGGUGGUUCAGCAAGUCAACUGUGAAAGUCCGGGGCUCAACCCCGGGAGGCCAGUCGAAACUGCUGUGACUAGGGUCCGGUAGAGGUGAGUGGAAUUCUCGGUGUAGCGGUGAAAUGCGCAGAUAUCGAGAGGAACACCAGUGGCGAAGGCGGCUCUCUGGGCCCUACCUGACGCUGAGACGCGAAAGCGUGGGGAGCGAACCGG
rnacentral:rRNA from 1 species